UCUGUAGGCAAUGGUCUUAUUUAAUAAAUUUUUCCCUGCUUUCACUUUUAGAGCUAUAUUUACACAGACAAAUUUAAUUCAUUGGGUUUACAUUUCCUUUUUCCCUUAGUUCGUCCACCAGGCACAUAUGGGAAGGACUGUAAACAGGUAUGUCGGUGUUCAGCUGAGAAUGAAGAGUGUCACCCAGUCACGGGGAGAUGUACCUGUCUGCCUGGCUACCAUGGAAACCGCUGUCAUCUCCAGGAAUAAAGAAAUACAACCGCAACAGCACAGAAAUAACCUUUGGUAUGAAAAACUGCAGUGUUUUACUUUCCAUCUCCAUUAUGAAGAAUUUUAUUUUAAAACUGGAAGAAAAAAGAAGAAAGAAGCAGCCCUCUUUGGGUUUGAGACUCAAGGAUGCCCAAAAGGCACUUAAGGUCUAAAUUGCCAAAGGAUGUGCAAAUGCCUCAAUGGCAGCAGCUUGGACACCUAGACUGGCACCUGUUACUGCCCUCCUGGCUUCACUGGGGCU